rnacentral:rRNA from 1 species
AACGAACGUUGGCGGCAUGCCUAACACAUGCAAGUCGAACGAGACCUUCGGGUCUAGUGGCGCACGGGUGCGUAACGCGUGGGAACCUGCCCUUAGGUUCGGAAUAACUCCCCGAAAGGGGUGCUAAUACCGGAUAAUGUCUUCGGACCAAAGAUUUAUCGCCUUUGGAUGGGCCCGCGUUGGAUUAGCUAGUUGGUAGGGUAAAAGCCUACCAAGGCGACGAUCCAUAGCUGGUCUGAGAGGAUGAUCAGCCACACUGGGACUGAGACACGGCCCAGACUCCUACGGGAGGCAGCAGUGGGGAAUAUCGGACAAUGGGCGAAAGCCUGAUCCAGCAAUGCCGCGUGAGUGAUGAAGGCCUUAGGGUUGUAAAGCUCUUUUACCCGGGAUGAUAAUGACAGUACCGGGAGAAUAAGCUCCGGCUAACUCCGUG